rnacentral:misc_RNA from 1 species
GCCUCCUAAUUAAUCACUUUAAUGCUUUACUACUAAGAUUAUUUUACAUUCUAUUUUAUUAAUAAUACUAAGUGUCAAGCCACCAUGUUGAAUCAAGAUGGAUUUGGACUAUGAAAAUAAAAGAAUUGGUAUUAGAAUUAUUUCCAAUAUGAAUUUAAGUUUAAAUUUAAUCACUAAUAAAUAUCAAUAAUUAUAUGAAAUUGAUUUUAU